CCUACGGGGGGCAGCAGUGAGGAAUAUUGGUCAAUGGACGAGAGUCUGAACCAGCCAAGUAGCGUGAAGGAUGACUGCCCUAUGGGUUGUAAACUUCUUUUAUAAAGGAAUAAAACGAGGCACGUGUGCCUUUUUGCAUGUACUUUAUGAAUAAGGAUCGGCUAACUCCGUGCCAGCAGCCGCGGUAAUACGGAGGAUCCGAGCGUUAUCCGGAUUUAUUGGGUUUAAAGGGAGCGUAGAUGGGUUGUUAAGUCAGUUGUGAAAGUUUGCGGCUCAACCGUAAAAUUGCAAUUGAUACUGGCAGUCGUGAGUACAGUUGAGGUAGGCGGAAUUCGUGGUGUAGCGGUGAAAUGCUUAGAUAGCACGAAGAACCCCGAUUGCGAAGGCAGCUUACUAAACUGUGACUGACAUUGAUGCUCGAAAGUGUGGGUAUCAAACAGGAUUAGAUACCCCAGUAGUC
rnacentral:rRNA from 1 species